rnacentral:lncRNA from 1 species
GGCCUGGAUCCCCAAUUCACCCCUCCGGGCGAGCCCGGGGCGCACAGGGCCCCUCGCUCCUCCCCCGCCAGGCCCGGCCCGGCCUCGGGCUCAGCCCCACGGCGGCCUCGCAGUCCCCGCUCCUCGCCGCCCUGCCCUGCCUGGCCCGGCCCGGCCACUCUCCGCAGGCCUCGCGGUACCGGAGGCUCCGAUCCUCGGCUUCCGCCGAGAGGGAGAGAAGCCGUCGCCUCGGCCCCGGGCCUGCCGCCCCUGGCUCGCCGUCGCCCCCGAGAGUCCGCCGGGGUGGGAGCGCCCGGCCGUCGCAUCGCUCUCCUCAGCCCGGUCCCCUCCCUGCCUCGCUCCUGCCGGGAAACGCCCGCCCCACCCCCACCCCCGGUCUCCUCCCACGCCGCCGUCCACGGCCUCUUUAUUUUUUUUUGGCUACCUUGUCGGAGUGGAAAUGGCGCCGCGCGGGGAACUAAGGUUCACGCUCAGGGGGUCUCGGGCAGACCAGCUGAGAGAAGGCGCACACACGCGGGGACGCAAGAUGGCAGCUAGAGGGAGGCCGGAAGUAAGGCGACGCCACUUCCUUCAGAACUCAGGAAGCCGAGUUGGCGUCGCCGCGCAUGCGCAGCCGGGACCCCCGCGGCGAGGGUGCGAGUCCGGUCCGCGGCCGUUUCUUUCCCUUUCGGGCCCGCGGCGGGCAGGGAGCAGCACCGGAGAGCCGGGAGCCGCGGUCGCCGGCCGCGGUCCUGGGAAAGGCCGCGGAUAGAUCGGACAGGGAGGCUCCCUGGAGAGCUGCGGUUAAGUCAGUCCGCCCCGUGGCCACCCCCUAGGGCGUCCGGCUUUGUCCAGUAGGCGGCAGCGUCUGCUGCUCAGUGCCGGGUGUAGAUAAAAACCAUCGAAAUC